GAUGAACGCUGGCGGCGUGCCUAAUACAUGCAAGUCGAGCGAACGGACGAGAAGCUUGCUUUUCUGAUGUUAGCGGCGGACGGGUGAGUAACACGUGGAUAACCUACCUAUAAGACUGGGAUAACUUCGGGAAACCGGAGCUAAUACCGGAUAAUAUUUUGAACCGCAUGGUUCAAAAGUGAAAGACGGUCUUGCUGUCACUUAUAGAUGGAUCCGCGCUGCAUUAGCUAGUUGGUAAGGUAACGGCUUACCAAGGCAACGAUGCAUAGCCGACCUGAGAGGGUGAUCGGCAACACUGGAACUGAGACACGGUCAAGACGCCUAAGGGAGGCAGCAGUAGGGAAUCGUCCGCAAUGGGCGAAAGCCUGACGGAGCAAGGCCGCGUGAGUGAUGAAGGUCUUCGGAUCGUAAAAACCUGUUAUUAGGGAAGAACAGAUGUGUAAGUAACUGUGCACAGAGUGACGGUACCUAAUCAGAAAGCCACGGCUAACUACGUG
rnacentral:rRNA from 1 species